rnacentral:pre_miRNA from 1 species
GUACAAAUCUCUUUGGGAUCUUGUUAAGAUGCAGAUUUUGAUUCAGCAGGUCUGAGAUGGGACCUAAGAUUCUGCAUUUCUGACAAGCUCCCAGGAAAUGCUGAU